CUGAGAGCUAUUUCAGAAAACCCUGAGGUCCUGCCUGCUGAAAUUGUCAUUCCAGAGGAGUCAAAGACGAUAGCCUUCAGAAGAAAUAUGCAGCCCAGCUGACACUUUGGUUGCAGCCUUGUGACACCCUGAGAGAGGACCAGCUCAGCUGUGCCCAGACUCUUGACACAUGGGAUUGUGAGAUACAAACAUGUGUUGUUUUAAGCUGCUAAA